rnacentral:tRNA from 1 species
GGAUUGUAGUUCAGUGGUAGAGCUCUUGCCUUGCAUGCAUGGGACCUUGAGUUUGAUCCUCAGCACCA